rnacentral:rRNA from 1 species
CCCUUAGAUGUUCUGGGCUGCACGCGCGCUACACUGACGCACGCAACAGGUGCCUGCUCCGAGAGGACUGGGUAAUCAUUUGAGUGUGCGUCGUGAUGGGGAUAGAAUAUUGUAAUUAUUACUCUUCAACGAGGAAUUCCUAGUAAGCGCAAGUCAGCAGCUUGCGCUGAUUACGUCCCUGCCCUUUGUACACACCGCCCGUCGCUCCUACCGAUUGAAUGUUCCGGUGAGCUCUUCGGACUGCGCGGUCUGCAGUUUCUGCGUUCCGUGCGGAAAGUUGCGCAAACCUUAACAUUUAGAGGAAGGAGAAGUCGUAACA